rnacentral:tRNA from 1 species
GGAAGCAUGGCUCAAGUGGAAGAGUUCCUGCUUACCAAACAUGAAGUCAUGAGUUCAAGUCUCAGUACUGCUA